GACGAACGCUGGCGGCGUGCUUAACACAUGCAAGUCGAGCGGUAAGGCCUUUCGGGGUACACGAGCGGCGAACGGGUGAGUAACACGUGGGUGAUCUGCCCUGCACUUCGGGAUAAGCCUGGGAAACUGGGUCUAAUACCGGAUAUGACCUCCUAUCGCAUGGUGGGUGGUGGAAAGAUUUAUCGGUGCAGGAUGGGCCCGCGGCCUAUCAGCUUGUUGGUGGGGUAAUGGCCUACCAAGGCGACGACGGGUAGCCGACCUGAGAGGGUGACCGGCCACACUGGGACUGAGACACGGCCCAGACUCCUACGGGAGGCAGCAGUGGGGAAUAUUGCACAAUGGGCGAAAGCCUGAUGCAGCGACGCCGCGUGAGGGAUGACGGCCUUCGGGUUGUAAACCUCUUUCAGUAGGGACGAAGCGCAAGUGACGGUACCUGCAGAAGAAGCACCGGCUAACUACGUG
rnacentral:rRNA from 1 species